CAACUGUAGCUGUAAAAACUGUAGCUGUAUCAACCACAAGAGUAGACUGAGACUCAUGAUCAUCAACUGAUUCAGCAAGAGACUGACCUAAAGUUCACUUUGUAAACUGUUGUUCCUUUUUAGCAGGCUUGUUCACAAAGGACAUAGUGAAGCUAGUCCAGGCUUUUAGACAUUGCAACUGACAAGAAAAGAACACUGAAAUAGCACUAAAUAAUGAAAUGACUAUGCUUUCUAGUGUUGCUGUGGUGGCCCACUGUGAUUGGCACCAAAGUCUUACCACCUCCUCCUUUAUUUAGUCUCUCUUCAUCACCUUGUUAUCAGCCUGCCAUUUAUGCAUUCAUAAUUAUAAGAUUUUCAUAAAAAAUUGAAAUUAUAAUUGCAA